rnacentral:rRNA from 1 species
AAGUGGUACGCGAGCUGGGUUUAGAACGUCGUGAGACAGUUCGGUCCCUAUCUGCCGUGGGCGUUGGAAGAUUGAAGGGGGCUGCUCCUAGUACGAGAGGACCGGAGUGGACGAACCUCUGGUGUUCGGGUUGUGUCGCCAGACGCAUUGCCCGGUAGCUAAGUUCGGAAUCGAUAACCGCUGAAAGCAUCUAAGCGGGAAGCGAGCCCUGAGAUGAGUCUUCCCUGACAGUUUAACUGUCCUAAAGGGUUGUUCGAGACUAGAACGUUGAUAGGCAGGGUGUGUAAGCGUUGUGAGGCGUUGAGCUAACCUGUACUAAUUGCCCGUGAGGCUUAACCAU